AAGAAGACGAGAAACUGAAGAAGAGAAAGGAGCGGUUUGGCAUUGUGACGAGUUCAGCCGGGGCUGGAGCCACAGAGGACACAGAGGCAAAGAAGAGGAAAAGAGCAGAACGCUUUGGGAUCGUCUGAUGCCGGUCCUUUCUAGCUUCAGCCCGUUUGCAGUGUGCCUCUCGAGUGCGUGCAUUCUCCUUCUCUCUCUUUCCCCCCACUUUCUCUCACUCCCACACUGUUUCUCUAGGUUUUAGUGAUGAGUAGACAGGGAAUCCCCCGUAGUUGUAUGAUUGUGCUACUUAUUUUUUCAAGUUACAAAGUUUAAAAAUGAAGAAAAGUGAGCAAAAAGAAGAAACUGUUCUCAGUGCAUCUCCGGUAGCCCGCAGCGCCGCGGUCCGGUGGUUUCCCAGCUGCUGGUGGGGUCAUUCGCAGCAGCUCGCACCGGCGGUGCCGUCCGGCGGGGAGAGACGGAGAGUGUCCCGGUGCCCUCCCAGCGCCGCUGGGAAACGCCUGUGCCGGGGAGAGCCAAACUCUGCCCGGGGAACAGACGGGCAGAUGGAGCAACGGCGGGAGCACGGUGUCUGCUGUGCGCUGAGGAAGGGAAAACGUUGAGGAACGGAGAUGGAGCGGGGUUUGCUCUGCCCUCGGCAGUUGCUUUUCUAGUUUAAGGACUCCCGGUAUGCUGCCGAAGCAAGGACCGGUGUUGUCUGUUUGCCGUCCGAUGCCGUCUCCGCCUCUCGGGGUGCCCUGGUCCUCUCCUCCUCCUCCUCCGCCCUGCGAAAACGGGCGCCGAGGCUCAGCCGCGUCGUGGUCCCUUCCCAGCAGCUCGCUGCGUGACGCGAGUCCCGCUCUGGAUCGCUGGCGUCUUACCCCCGGCGCGGCCGGGGUCUGACAGGCUGAACGUCAGGGAAGGAUUUUUUUUCAAUUACAUUGUCUCGUGUUUUCAAAAAUGGAAGUGGCGUGUGUGAUAGCCGACACGCGGGGCCGUUUCACGACUGCCUUCCUUCCCCGGGUGAGGCUAAUGGGAAUUGUCAGAGCAAGAAUUGCCGAUUAACCCUAGAUCAAGACUGGUGUCCUAAAACAAGGAGGAAAACGUGGCAAUGCGCUUGCAAAUGCAGCCUGUUCUCACCGCUUCAUUUAUCCCGCCCUGUUAAGCCCUCGUAGCGCUUCACCUACGUUUUCCAGGUUCCUCCAAGGUCAGCGAUACGUUUCUCUCCCUAAACCACAAACCAGCAGAGUCGCUUUGCCCGAUGUCUGUUCUCAGGCUGCAUUUUAUCUUGUCCUCUCUUUGCCUCAGAGUAGCGGCCAAGCUGGUUUAACCCGCAGACUUGCUGAAGAAGCCUCAGUCUUCUCCGAGCUGCCGGGCGGUGCGGGAGAGCACCGCCGUUAUCCUGGGACCUGUGUUUUGAGCGUGGAAGUUCUCGGUAGCUGUGCAGGAACACGGUUCCUUCUGCUGCGUUACCCGUAACCCUUUCGGUGCGAUUACGGGGAAAAAAAAAUUUGGCCGAGUCACGCCGACGGCAGCGCUGCCGCAGCUUGUGAAGCGCUCCUCGCUGCUUUAGCGUUUCAGACGGCACCGUUGGUCUCGGGGGGCUGUAAAGAGCGGUUCCCCAGGCUGGGGGGAAGGAGCGGUGGCAAAGCAUAGGACCCCGAAGCCGGCGGGGCCGGACUGGCGGCGCGGGGGCAGAGGGGAGCUGCCGCACGCCCUUUCCUCCUUUGCCGGCCUAGAGCAUCAGUUUCGCUCGCAAGCGUUCGUUCCCGCUGCGUCUCCCACCCUUGUGCGGAGCUUUCCCUCCCACGGGUACCUCGGCCCCAGGCGUCGGCAGAAAUCUGUCCGUCGGCAGAAAUCUGUCUGUCUGCUUGGAUUUUUAGGUGGGCAUUGUGGCUGAAAUCCUUCUCUUGUCUGAAGACUGACCUCCUAGGGCUCUUAUUUCUGGCCGUAACCUCUUACCGGCGAGGUGUUUGCCUUGUCCGUGCUUGGUUCCUUAAGAUGCUAGAGAGCAACGGGGGGGUGUACAAAUCGAGCUUUUCAGAGGCUUAUACCUGAUUCUUAAUAAGCAAUAUAUAUAUAUUUUUUAACAUAGAAGUCUUCAAACCGCUUCUGUUCCAUUAACGUUUGCAGUCUGACUGCGUCCGCCUGCCCUCGGUGACUCUGAGCAAUACCUUGGACGUUUGUUUACCUUCCCAAAGGGCAGCUAAAAGCCACGGGGUCCGGGUUACGUCGCGUGUCGUGGGUUGUCAGUGGCUGAGUGAAUCGAAGCUCCCUUGCUCCUUCCUGAUUUAAUGUAAUAACGUUAUUCUAAUUUUUUUUUUUUUUUGUAUGUCAGAUUUUGUAAGAUGUAUUUUCUAUUUGGCUCAUGAUCUCUUUGCUGGUUAUUUGCUUGAAAUGUUUUGUAGUGUGCCAGGGCAAACACUGCAUUUCAUUCUCGGUUUCAUAAUAAAACUGCUUCUCCAAGGCAAUUCUGGUAUCUGUCAGUUUGAUGCAUGGCGCGGCCGAGGCUCGG